GUCCCAGUAACACUGGCCCAUGGAACAACUGGGGGGUCCCAGUAACACUGGCCCAUGGAACAACUGGGGGGUCCCAGUAACACUGGCCCAUGGAACAACUGGGGGGGUCCCAGUAACACUGGCCCAUGGAACAACUGGGGGGGGUCCCAGUAACACUGGCCCAUGGAACAACUGGGGGGUCCCAGUAACACUGGCCCAUGGAACAACUGGGGGGUCCCUGAGGAGAGGUCUGAGUAACACCACUUUUCACCAGGAGCCAAUGGUCAACAGUAGUAUACUAUGUAAAGGAAAGGGGGCCAUUUCGGAUGCAACCUGAGACUCUGGCUUUUCUUUUGUUUUUACAGUCCAGUUUCUUGGUUUGGUGACACUAAAAAGGGUGUCACAAUUUAUCAUUUUUGCGCCAUUGGGACGUGUAUUCUGCUAAGAUCAGGACACUGGCUAUGAGGGCUUGGCCCUCUGUCUGUCAAUCAGAACAUACCGGAUAAUGAUUGGUCCAAUAUUACUGGGGCAGCAAUGCAUUCUGGAACUUCUAGAAAUUGUCAUCACUUCUGAGGUCAAACCAUAGAUGACAUUAAAUAUCACAAGAUCCAAAAAUUAUGUAAUAACAUUGACAAUGGUAUUGUGAAUGCACUACUAGUUAGUCAUUUAGUCUUAAGGCAGAACUUGUAUUUUUGUUUAAGUUUUUUGUUGUUGAAGAAAACAGGUUCCGGACUAAAGGCGUUUGAGUCAUUUAGAGUUUUCAGUGAGAUUCUUGGUGAAGUGUCAGCAUUUUUCUGGCUAAUCUGUUGUUGCCAUGCAAACAGCUGGCUAAUCUGUUGUUGCCAUGCAAACAGCUGAGUGGCGGCAUGUAAAAAAAAUAAAUAGUUUCAGUGUUAAGGAUGAUAA